rnacentral:misc_RNA from 1 species
GAUGAAGAACGUAGCGAAAUGCGAUAAUUAAUGUGAAUUGCAGAAUUCCGUGAAUCAUCGAGCCUUUGAACGCACAUUGCGCCUCAUGGCAUUCCGUGAGGCAUGCCCAUCUCAGCGUUAGAAAAUAUUCUCAAAUUUUAGUUUUGUGCUAAAAUUUGGAUCAUGUCAAAGAAGCUAUUACUAUUAUUGUGAUCGCUCUUUGGAAAUAGAUAGGUCUUUGAGUUGCUACUCAUAGAACGUGAUGAAUCUUUCUUCGUUCUAUUGUAAUUCACUCUGGUAGUCCUAAAACUUGUAUGCCUGUGGCAUAUCUUGUAAUUUGACCUGAGAUUGGGUAGGGAUACCCGCUGAACUUAAGCAUAUCAAUAAGCGGAGGA